GACGAACGCUGGCGGCGUGCUUAACACAUGCCAGUCGAACGGAAAGGCCCUGCUUUUGCGGGGUGCUCGAGUGGCGAACGGGUGAGUAACACGUGAGUAACCUGCCCUUGACUUUGGGAUAACUUCAGGAAACUGGGGCUAAUACCGGAUAGGAGCUCCUGCUCCAUGGUGGGGGUUGGAAAGUUUCGGCGGUUGGGGGUGGACUGGCGGCUUAUCAGCUUGUUGGUGGGGUAGUGGCUUACCAAGGCUUUGCCGGGUAGCCGGCCUGGGAGGGUGACCGGCCACAUUGGGACUGAGAGACGGCCCAGACUCCAACGGGAGGCAGCAGUGGGGAAUAUUGCACAAUGGGCGGAAGCCUGAUGCAGCAACGCCGCGUGCGGGAUGACGGCCUUCGGGUUGUAAACCGCUUUCGCCUGUGACGAAGCGUGAGUGACGGUAAUGGGUAAAGAAGCACCGGCUAACUACGUG
rnacentral:rRNA from 1 species